GAUGAACGCUGGCGGCGUGCCUAAUACAUGCAAGUCGAGCGAACAGACGAGGAGCUUGCUCCUCUGACGUUAGCGGCGGACGGGUGAGUAACACGUGGAUAACCUACCUAUAAGACUGGGAUCACUUCGGGAAACCGGAGCUAAUACCGGAUAAUAUAUUGAACCGCAUGGUUCAAUAGUGAAAGACGGCUUUGCUGUCACUUAUAGCUGGAUCCGCGCCGCAUUAGCUAGUUGGUAAGGUAACGGCUUACCAAGGCAACGAUGCGUAGCCGACCUGAGAGGGUGAUCGGCCACACUGGAACUGAGACACGGUCCAGACUCCUACGGGAGGCAGCAGUAGGGAAUCUUCCGCAAUGGGCGAAAGCUUGACGGAGCAACGCCGCGUGAGUGAUGAAGGUCUUCGGAUCGUAAAACUCUGUUAUUAGGGAAGAACAAAUGUGUAAGUAACUAUGCACGUCUUGACGGUACCUAAUCAGAAAGCCACGGCUAACUACGUG
rnacentral:rRNA from 1 species